UACGUAGGUGGCGAGCGUUGUCCGGAUUUACUGGGCGUAAAGAGCGCGCAGGCGGCUGGUCAAGUCCGAUGUGAAAGCUCCCGGCUUAACUGGGAAAUUGCAUCGGAAACUGAUCGGCUGGAAGGUGGGAGAGGGUAGCGGAAUUCCCGGUGUAGUGGUGAAAAUGCGUAGAUAUCGGGAGGAACACCAGUGGCGAAAGCGGCUACCUGGCCCAUUCUUGACGCUGAGGCGCGAAAGCUAGGGGAGCAAACGGG
rnacentral:rRNA from 1 species